GAUGAACGCUGGCGGCGUGCCUAAUACAUGCAAGUCGAGCGAACAGUCGAUGAGCUUGCUCCUCUGACGUUAGCGGCGGACGGGUGAGUCACUCGUUGAUAACCUACCUAUAAGACUGGGAUAACUUCGGGAAACCGGAGCUAAUUCCGUAUUAUCUAUUGAACCGCAUUGUUCCAUAGUUAAAUACGGUUUUGCUUUCUUUUAUAGAUGCCUCCUGGCCCCAUUAGCUAGAUGGUAAGGUAACGGCUUACCAAGGCAACGAUGCAUAGCCGACCUGAGAGGGGGAUCGGCCACACGGGAACGGAGACACGGCCCAGACUCCUACGGGAGGAAGAAGUAGGGAAUCUGGCGCAAUGGGGGAAAGCUGGACGGAGAAACGCCGCGUGAGUGAUGAAGGUCUUCGGAUCGUAAAACUCUGUUAUUAGGGAAGAACAAAUGUGUAAGUAACUAUGCACGUCUUGACGGUACCUAAUCAGAAAGCCACGGCUAACUACGUG
rnacentral:rRNA from 1 species